rnacentral:rRNA from 1 species
AGUGAACGCUGGCGGUAGGCCUAACACAUGCAAGUCGAACGGCAGCACAGUAAGAGCUUGCUCUUACGGGUGGCGAGUGGCGGACGGGUGAGGAAUACAUCGGAAUCUACUUUUUCGUGGGGGAUAACGUAGGGAAACUUACGCUAAUACCGCAUACGACCUACGGGUGAAAGCAGGGGAUCUUCGGACCUUGCGCGAUUGAAUGAGCCGAUGUCGGAUUAGCUAGUUGGCGGGGUAAAGGCCCACCAAGGCGACGAUCCGUAGCUGGUCGGAGAGGAUGAUCAGCGACACUGGAACUGAGACACGGUCCAGACUCCUACGGGAGGCAGCAGUCGGGAAUAUUAGACAAUGGGCGCAAGCCUGAUCCAGCCAGACCGCGUGGGUGAAGAAGGCCUUCGGGUUGUAAAGCCCUUUUGUUGGGAAAGAAAAGCAGCAGGUUAAUACCCCGCUGUUCUGACGGUACCCAAAGAAGAAGCACCGGCUAACUUCGUG